AAGGCUUUAGCUUAAUAAAAGUGUCUGGGUUGCAUUCAGAUGAUGUAUAUAAGAAUUUUACAGGUCUUG
rnacentral:tRNA from 1 species